UACGUAGGGGGCAAGCGUUGUCCGGAUUUAUUGGGCGUAAAGAGCGUGUAGGCGGCCAUACAGGUCCGUUGUGAAAACUGGAGGCUUAACCUCCAGACGUCGAUGGAAACCGUAUGGCUAGAGUCCGGAAGAGGAGAGUGGAAUUCCUGGUGUAGCGGUGAAAUGCGCAGAUAUCAGGAAGAACACCCGUGGCGAAGGCGGCUCUCUGGGACGGUACUGACGCUGAGAAGCGAAAGCAUGGGGAGCGAACAGG
rnacentral:rRNA from 1 species